rnacentral:rRNA from 1 species
UCCUGGCUUAGGACGAACGCUGGCGGCGUGCCUAAUACAUGCAAGUCGAACGGGGAAUGAGGAGAGAUUAUCUGAAUCAUUCUAGUGGCGAACGGGUGAGUAACGGCGUGAGCAACCUAGUCCUAAAGUGGGGAAUAACAGCUGGAAACAGCUGCUAAUACCGCAUAAGACCACGCUGUCGCAUGGCAGAGGGGUCAAAGAUUUAUCGCUUUAGGAGGGGCUCGCGUCCCAUUAGAUAGUUGGUGAGGUAACGGCUCACCAAGUCAACGAUGGGUAGCCGAGCUGAGAGGCUGAUCGGCCACACUGGAACUGAGACACGGUCCAGACUCCUACGGGAGGCAGCAGUAGGGAAUAUUGGGCAAUGGGCGCAAGCCUGACCCAGCAACGCCGCGUGAGGGAAGAAGGUUUUCGGAUUGUAAAACCUCUGUCCUUGGUGACGAAACAAAUGACGGUAGCCAAGGAGGAAGCCCCGGCUAACUACGUGCCAGCAGCAGC